rnacentral:rRNA from 1 species
GACGAACGCUGGCGGCGUGCUUAACACAUGCAAGUCGAGCGGAAAGGCCCUUCGGGGUACUCGAGCGGCGAACGGGUGAGUAACACGUGAGUAACCUGCCCCAGACCUUGGGAUAACCCUCGGAAACGGGGCUAAUACCGGAUACGGCACAGGUUCGCCUUGGGUUUGGUGGGGAAGUUUUUCGGUUUGGGAUGGGCUCGCGGCCUAUCCGCUUGUUGGUGGGGUUAUGGCCUACCAAGGCCACGACGGGUAGCCGGCCUGAGAGGGCGACCGGCCACACUGGGACUGAGACACGGCCCAGACUCCUACGGGAGGCAGCAGUGGGGAAUAUUGCACAAUGGGCGGAAGCCUGAUGCAGCGACGCCGCGUGAGGGAUGACGGCCUUCGGGUUGUAAACCUCUUUCAGCAGGGACGAAGCGUAAGUGACGGUACCUGCAGAAGAAGCGCCGGCCAACUACGUG